AACGAACGCUGGCGGCAGGCUUAACACAUGCAAGUCGAACGCCCCGCAAGGGGAGUGGCAGACGGGUGAGUAACGCGUGGGAACGUACCUUUCGCUUCGGAAUAGCCCCGGGAAACUGGGUGUAAGACCGGAUACGCCGUAUUGGGAAAGAUUUAUCGGCGAAAGAUCGGCCCGCGUUGGAUUAGCUAGUUGGCGGUGUAAUAGACCACCAAGGCGACGAUCCAUAGCUGGUCUGAGAGGAUGAUCAGCCACACUGGGACUGAGACACGGCCCAGACUCCUACGGGAGGCAGCAGUGGGGAAUCUUGGACAAUGGGCGCAAGCCUGAUCCAGCCAUGCCGCGUGAGUGAAGAAGGCCUUAGGGUUGUAAAACUCUUUCGCCGUUGAAGAUAAUGACGGUAGCCGGAGAAGAAGCCCCGGCUAACUUCGUGCCAGCCGCCGCAGUAAGAC
rnacentral:rRNA from 1 species